UGGGGAAUUUUGGACAAUGGGCGCAAGCCUGAUCCAGCAAUGCCGCGUGCAGGAUGAAGGCCUUCGGGUUGUAAACUGCUUUUGUACGGAGCGAAAAGGUCUGCCCUAAUACGGUGGGCUCAUGACGGUACCGUAAGAAUAGGCACCGGCUAACUACGUGCCAGCAGCCGCGGUAAUACGUAGGGUGCGAGCGUUAAUCGGAAUUACUGGGCGUAAAGCGUGCGCAGGCGGUUUUGUAAGACAGAGGUGAAAUCCCCGGGCUCAACCUGGGAAUUGCCUUUGUGACUGCAAGGCUUGAGUGCGGCAGAGGGGGAUGGAAUUCCGCGUGUAGCAGUGAAAUGCGUAGAUAUGCGGAGGAACACCGAUGGCGAAGGCAAUCCCCUGGACCUGUACUGACGCUCAUGCACGAAAGCGUGGGGAGCAAACA
rnacentral:rRNA from 1 species